rnacentral:rRNA from 1 species
UACGUAGGGAGCAAGCGUUGUCCGGAAUCAUUGGGCGUAAAGCGCGCGUAGGCGGCCCUGUAAGUCCGUUGUGAAAGUCAAAGGCUCAACCUUUGAAAGCCGAUGGAUACUGCAGGGCUGGAGUCCGGGAAGAGGCGAAGUGGAAUUCCUGGUGUAGCGGUGGAAUGCGCAGAUAUCAGGAGGAACACCAAUGGCGAAGGCAGCUCGCUGGAACGGUACUGACGCUGAGGCGCGAAAGCGUGGGGAGCGAACAGG